rnacentral:pre_miRNA from 1 species
ACUCAGGGGCCCGAUCCGAAGCCCACUGAAGUCAAUGGGAAACUUUCAAUUGACUUCAGUGGACUUUGAAUCAGGCCCCAAGUGGU